GGCGGCAGCAGUGGGGAAUAUUGGACAAUGGGCGCAAGCCUGAUCCAGCCAUACCGCGUGGGUGAAGAAGGCCUUCGGGUUGUAAAGCCCUUUUGUUGGGAAAGCGGUACCCAAAGAAUAAGCACCGGCUAACUUCGUGCCAGCAGCCGCGGUAAUACGAAGGGUGCAAGCGUUACUCGGAAUUACUGGGCGUAAAGCGUGCGUAGGUGGUUGUUUAAGUCUGUUGUGAAAGCCCUGGGCUCAACCUGGGAAUUGCAGUGGAUACUGGGCGACUAGAGUGUGGUAGAGGGUAGUGGAAUUCCCGGUGUAGCAGUGAAAUGCGUAGAGAUCGGGAGGAACAUCCAUGGCGAAGGCAGCUACCUGGACCAAACUGACACUGAGGCACGAAAGCGUGGGGAGCAAACAGGAUUAGAUACCCUUGUAGUC
rnacentral:rRNA from 1 species